AUUGAACGCUGGCGGCAGGCCUAACACAUGCAAGUCGAACGAGUGGCGGACGGGUGAGUAAUGUCUGGGAAACUGCCCGAUGGAGGGGGAUAACUACUGGAAACGGUAGCUAAUACCGCAUACCAUCGGAUGUGCCCAGAGGGGAUUAGCUAGUAGGUGGGGUAACGGCUCACCUGGGCGACGAUCCCUAGCUGGUCUGAGAGGAUGACCAGCAAGACUGGACCUGAGACACGGUCCAUACUCCUACGGGAGGCAGAAGUGGGAAAUAUUGCACAAUGGGCGCAAGCCUGAUGCAGCAAUGCCGCGUGUAUGAAGAAGGCCUUGGGGUUGUAAAGUCCUUUCAGCGAGGAGGCGUUACUCGCAGAAGAAGCACCGGCUAACUCCGUGCCAGCAGCCGCGGUAAUUC
rnacentral:rRNA from 1 species